CAUGCAUGCGCAUAUAUAGAUGACAGACAGAGAGACAUAUAUACAUAUAUAUCAUAUAUGCACGACUCGCUCGCUGCUAUAUAGAUGAAACAUGCUCAGCCAAAUGAGCAGACAGCUUGGCCAAAUAUAUUUCGAUUAAAAUAUAAAUGAAAUUAAGCUGGACACAGCACUGACACGAAAACUAAAUGGCGUGCCAACUGCUUGAGUGAGUGAGAAAUUUGUAUUGUCUGCCAAUAACAGAUGACAACGGCAGCAGCAACAGCAACAGCAACAGCAGCAGCAGCAGGAACGGCAGCAGCAGCAGCUGCAACCAACAGGUUGCCAACUAGAAACUAAACACAUUCGCCCGCAGACGGCGGCAGAUCCAAGAAAAGCGCUAAGAAAAACACUUGCGAAAAUUAGCAGCAGCAGCAGCAGCAGUCGCAGUCGCAGUCGCAGCCGCUGCUGCUGCGGUGUCGGCGUCGCCGUCGCCGUCAACGUCAGCGUUGGCAUCGCCAUCGGCCGUGUCAAGCUAUAAAUAGUGUGCACUGUGCGCGUGACAGCUGGUGUGACAGAAACGGUGACGUCAUUUGCCUCCUGGACGGACGCUGUGCUCGGCGGCGACGUCAUCAAAUCAAAUAGCUUAGCAGCUAAUUUGCAGCAACAACAACAACAACAGCAGCAACAACAACAACAACACGCUGCUGGCCAAAGCCAAUAAACACAUCAUAGACAAGACAUUAUCAGAUGCUCUCAGCGUGCGGGCCACAAAAUAUGCGAAACCCAAACGAAUUGAUAAGAUCAGCUAAAUAUAUAUAGACUAUUUAUAUAUGUAUAUACAUGUACACAUAUGUAUAAUAACAAUAUGCGCAGAGUAAACACACGAAGAGCCAUGAGAAUCGCACGAAAGCACAGCAAGAA